UUGUGUUAUUGUACUAACAUUAAUGCACAAGAUCCCAUAAAAACUCUACAAUUAAGUAUGUUAUGACUAGAAUAGUAUGGUGUUGGUAGAUCUCCCACUAAAUAUGAGUGUUGCAUCCC
rnacentral:rRNA from 1 species